AUGAACCGCCGCGGAUUCGUGCUUGCGGGGGUUGUUUCGAGAGAUGGAGCUUCAGAGGUUAAUACUGAUUCUCCAAUAUCUGGUGCGGCUAAAUCACCCAUGAUCCCUUUGACUGUGAUUGCCGAGGUUGCUUCGAGCCUUGAGAAUUUUUCAAGCCUCGAGGAUCUUGCUUCUGCAGCUCUUGCUUCACCUAAGGAGGAAGCUGUGAACACCAUCAACGAUGUUUUAUCUGAGUUGGGUUUAUCAGAAACCCCUGCUGCUGCUGAGGAGGGGGCUCCGUCAGUCAAAGGUUGUGAUUCCGUUCUGGAUCCUUUGUGCUGUCUUCAGAUGUCAGAGACGCAGUCGCAGUCUGUUGAUGGCACUAAACCUGUCACGCAACCCGAGGAUGUGCCUCUUCAGCAUCUCCUGGAGGACCAACGUAAGAGGAAGAAGCAAGAAGAUUUUGACAAGAAGAGGGCGUCCCGCCUUGAGAAAGGUUCCGAUGUUCCUGGAUCUGUUCAUGCGGCUGAGCUCACUGUUGAGGAUGACGUGCCGUGUGGCAGUGAUGGCACGGUUGUCCCUGUUAAGAAGAAAAUCAUGAAGACCGUUGUGAGGAAGCUAGUAGUUGGUGAAGUUACUCCUCGGAGGAGCCCACGUGUUUCAAGGCCUGCAGAAGUUGUUGAAGAUGAAGGGCUAGGCCUUGGUGAGGACAAGGAUGAUGCUGAUUUCAAUGCUGAUGAUGAGGACGACGACGAUGAUGAUGCUGCCGCUAAUCAGUAUCAGCUUAUGGAGCGGCCUGAGAGGAGGAAGAGAGGAGGCAAAGCGCCCGAAGAAGGUGGCCAAGGAGGAGGUGAGACGAAACAUUUUAACAAGACGGUUCGCUGCCCACUAGGAGAGGUCAAGACGUGUGUAAAAAUGCUACAACCUAGGCACAAGACGACGGUUAUCAAGGUUGGUUUUGGUUGUGUGUUUGACUUGAAGGUUGAUUCCAACAUUUCUCGUCCUUUGAUGUGCAACAUCUACACGAGGAUAGACCCUUCAACCAUGAUUUUGGACAUGGGUGAGGCGAACAAGGUUCUAUGUAUUACAAGUGAUGCUAUUCAGCAUCUCUUAGGGUUCCCUCAAGGUAAUCGUACCCCCCCUAGGCCCUCGAAUGAUGGUUUCGAUGAUGCUGUUAUGAGGUUGAAGGGCAAGCUUGGGUAUGCUAGGAGUGACGACAUCAAGACAAAGGAUUUGCGGAAUAUCCUCGCUGGACUUGUGAAGGAUGAGACGAAGGAUGAUCUUGCUCUCAAGGUACUAGCGGAGGUCACAAGCUGUGCCAUCGCGCCGCUUCUUAUGUAUCUGGACUGCCUUAUCAUUGGCAAGACGCCUAAUAUUGACUUGAGGACCCCUCGCAUCAAUUUCAUGGAUCAGGCCAAGCUUCUUGAUCUUGCUGCGGCUGACUUGGUCACAAAGGGUGAUGAUGACCCAGCCAACUGGGUGUUUGGGAGACUGCCUGUUGUUGAUGAUGAUGCUAGGGUUGAGGAGGAUGUUUUACCUGCGCAUGAAGCUGCUCCUGUGCAUGAGGCUGCCCCUGUGCAUGAACCUGCUCCCGCUAGUGGCAUAAUAGUUGAUGAGCUUCAUGGCAGGGAAAAUAAGCAGAAUGAUGAUGUUAGUGUUCCUCCAGAGAAGGUUGCAGACAAGUCCGUCUCAGGCACCGGCUGCUCCGACGGGGUGGACCUGACUGAACCUCAGUCGUCCAUUGGCGCUGAGGUUUCUGAUGCUGAGCAGGGCAAGACAAUUGGAGACAUCAUUUUGGAGAAAGAUCCUGUUGAGUCUGCUGUUGGAACUGGUGGUAGUGCUGCUGCAAGCCCGGAUAAGUCUCCUGCAGCAGAGCCAUUAGUUGAUGUUGAUGUUGUACAGGCACAACCAAAAGUUUUUCUUGUUUCAGAUUCUCCAGUUGCUCCAGCUGCUGCUGGCGUCCUUCCCGACGAUGCUGCAUGUCUACUGGAGACGAUGAUGAAGAGACCGAAAGCGAUAUCUAUGGAGAGGAGAUCAAUGAUUAUGUUCCAAAACAAGGAGUGUGAAGCUUCUGUUGAGGAUGUUGCAAUAUUUUUUGGUCCUCGUGGAAUGCUUCGAUCUAAUGUGGCUGAGUGUGCACUCUACUGUCUACGUGCGAAGUACCAGGGAUCGGAUAAACUCAUCCUGCCGUAUUGGGUUUGUGACAAGAUUUUCAGAGGUCAAUUUGAUUCCCGUGUGAGGAAGUACUUCUUGGCGAGUGGUCCAGAUAGAAUGGAUGCACAUGAUUCGGUUGUUUUCCCCACUUUUGACCCGCCUGAGAUUCCUGCUUCCAUGGGUGGUGUUGGUCAUUGGGUUUCAAUAUUUCUUGACAUGAAGAAUUCAAGGUUCCAGCUUCUCGACUCCUAUUAUGGACCAGAAGAUGAAUGUGCGGUACGCCUGUUUCGGUGGAUGACCGACAACAUCAAGAAGCUUUGGAGCGAUGCCAGCAAUGACAGGGAGACACCCUUCAGUCCUCUUACGAUCGACCAUUUCGCUCUGGAUUGUAUUGAUGUGCCCCAGCAGCAAAACAAUAUCGACUGUGGAUUCUUCAUGCUUACGAAUGUUAAUUUGUAUCAUGACGGGGUUCUUGCAAAUUAUUCCCAUGAGAAUAUCGCGGAUAUCAGGAAGACGUGCAUGUACUCAAUCGCUUCUUCUAACCUAUUUGAGACAGACUUCCAAGCUCUGUUUGGCUACUACACAGGGCAGCAGAUGGAAGGAGACAUAAUGGAUUAUCUCAUAAAUUUGUGGAAGGAUAAGCCGGAGACCUCCGAGAUAUACACUAGUGCUGACAGGGUUGUUCUUAGUCCCUACUUCAUACAGUACUGCCUGGAGUAUGAUUUCUAUGCUGCAACAGUUCCAAAGUUUGAUGCAAAAAAAUCUGCUGGUCUCCUCCCAAUGUUUGUUCGCAAGGAAGAAGACCUUCUUAACGCAAAGCUGGUUUUCUUGAUACUAUUUAAGCCAAUUGGCACAAUGGCGCACUGCAGUGUCUAUGUGGUGAAUAGAUAUCGUGGGAGCAUUGACAUCCUUGAUUCACCUCCUUACGCUAAUAUGCAAACGUUGCGAACGAGUUUCCACGGGGACUAUCAAAAUAUCAUCAAGAGAUUUGUUGGGUUGCUCGAGGAGGUGUACGGCAAGGCUGCGUACAAGGCGAGCAAGCAACCUAACUGGUUCUGCUCUUCAUAUGAUGGCGAUGAGAUUGUUGAAGAUUUUGGUGAUGUGGAAGCUGCUGUAGAUGACUGGAAGGCUGAGUUCAUGCACACUCUGAUUUUUAGCGAGAAGAAUGAAGUCAUGCGUUCAGAGCUCCCUAAAGAGAUCCAGUUCUUUGGCCCAUGA
rnacentral:rRNA from 1 species